rnacentral:rRNA from 1 species
AACGAACGCUGGCGGCAGGCCUAACACAUGCAAGUCGAGCGGACCCUUCGGGGUUAGCGGCGGACGGGUGAGUAACGCGUGGGAAUAUGCCCUUCUCUACGGAAUAGUCCUGGGAAACUGGGGGUAAUACCGUAUACGCCCUUUGGGGGAAAGAUUUAUCGGGGAAGGAUUAGCCCGCGUUGGAUUAGGUAGUUGGUGGGGUAAUGGCCUACCAAGCCGACGAUCCAUAGCUGGUUUGAGAGGAUGAUCAGCCACACUGGGACUGAGACACGGCCCAGACUCCUACGGGAGGCAGCAGUGGGGAAUCUUAGACAAUGGGGGCAACCAUGAUCUAGCCAGGCCGCGUGAGUGAUGAAGGCCUUAGGGUUGUAAAGCUCUUUCAGCUGGGAAGAUAAUGACGGUACCAGCAGAAGAAGCCCCGGCUAACUCCGUG